rnacentral:rRNA from 1 species
GAUGAACGCUGGCGGAGUGCCUAACACAUGCAAGUCGAGCGGCAGCGCGAGUAGUUUACUACUUGGCGGCGAGCGGCGGACGGCUGAGUAACGCGUGGAACAUGCCCCAAAGUGAGGAAUAACUGCCCGAAAGGGUAGCUAAUGCCGCAUACGAUCUUCGGAUUAAAGGAUUUAUCCGCUUUGGGAGUGGCCUGCGUACGAUUAGAUAGUUGGUGAGGUAAUGGCUCACCAAGUCUACGAUCGUUAACUGGUUUGAGAGGAUGAUCAGUCAGACUGGAACUGAGACACGGUCCAGACUCCUACGGGAGGCAGCAGUGAGGAAUCUUCCACAAUGGACGAAAGUCUGAUGGAGCAACUCCGCGUGCAGGAUGAAGGCCUUCGGGUCGUAAACUGCUUUAUGAGUGAAGAAUAUGACGGUAACUCAUGAAUAAGGGUCGGCUAACUACGUGCCAGCAGCCGCGGUAAU